UGUUUAUCCCGAUUAGGUCUAUUGUUUAUCCCGGUUAGGUCUGGUGUUUAUCCCGGUUAGGUCUGGUGUUUAUCCCGGUUAGGUCUGGUGUUUAUCCCGGUUAGGUCUGGUGUUUAUCCCGGUUAGGUCUGGUGAUUAUCCCGGUUAGGUCUGGUGUUUAUCCCGGUUAGGUCUGGUGUCUAUUCUGGCUCACUCUGGUGUUUAUCCUGGUUCAGUCUGGUGUUUAUCCUGGUUCAGUCUGGUGUUUAGCCUGGUUCAGUCUGGUGUUUAUCCCGGUUAGGUCUGGUGUUUAUCCCGGUUAGGUCUGGUGUUUAUCCCAGUUAGGUCUGGUGUUUAUCCUGGUUAGGUCUGGUGUUUAUCCCGGUUAGGUCUGGUGUUUAUCCCGGUUAGGUCUGGUGUUUAUCCCGGUUAGGUCUGGUGAUUACCCUGGUUAGGUCUGGUGAUUUUCCUGGUUAGGUCUGGUGUUUAUCCUGGUUAGGUCUGGUGUUUAUCCCGGUUAGGUCUGGUGUUUAUCCCGGUUAGGUCUGGUGUUUAUCCUGGUUAGGUCUGGUGAUUACCCUGGUUAGGUCUGGUGUUUAUCCUGGUUAGGUCUGGUGUUUAUCCUGGUUAGGUCUGGUGAUUAUCCUGGUUAGGUGUGGUGUUUAUCCUGGUUCAGUCUGGUGUUUAUCCUGGUUAGGUGUGGUGUUUAUCCUGGUUCAGUCUGGUGUUUAUCCUGGUUAGGUGUGGUGUUUAUCCUGGUUCAGUCUGGUGUUUAUCCUGGUUAGGUCUGGUGUCUAUCCUGGUUAGGUCUGGUGUUUAUCCCGAUUAGGUCUAUUGUUUAUCCUGGUUAGGUCUGAUGUUUAUCCUGGAUAGGUUUGGUGAUUAUCCUGGUUAGAUCUGUUGUUUAUCCCGGUUAGGUCUGGUGUUUAUCCUGGUUAGGUCUGGUGUUUAUCCCGAUUAGGUCUAUUGUUUAUCCCGGUUAGGUCUGGUGUUUAUCCCGGUUAGGUCUGGUGUUUAUCCCGGUUAGGUCUGGUGUUUAUCCCGGUUAGGUCUGGUGUUUAUCCCGGUUAGGUCUGGUGAUUAUCCCGGUUAGGUCUGGUGUUUAUCCCGGUUAGGUCUGGUGUCUAUUCUGGCUCACUCUGGUGUUUAUCCUGGUUCAGUCUGGUGUUUAUCCUGGUUCAGUCUGGUGUUUAUCCUGGUUCAGUCUGGUGUUUAGCCUGGUUCAGUCUGGUGUUUAUCCCGGUUAGGUCUGGUGUUUAUCCCGGUUAGGUCUGGUGUUUAUCCCAGUUAGGUCUGGUGUUUAUCCUGGUUAGGUCUGGUGUUUAUCCCGGUUAGGUCUGGUGUUUAUCCUGGUUAGGUCUGGUGUUUAUCCCGGUUAGGUCUGGUGUUUAUCCCGGUUAGGUCUGGUGUUUAUCCCGGUUAGGUCUGGUGAUUACCCUGGUUAGGUCUGGUGAUUAUCCUGGUUAGGUCUGGUGAUUAUCCUGGUUAGGUCUGGUGAUUACCCUGGUUAGGUCUGGUGAUUAUCCCGGUUAGGUCUGGUGAUUUUCCUGGUUAGGUCUGGUGUUUAUCCUGGUUAGGUCUGGUGUUUAUCCCGGUUAGGUCUGGUGUUUAUCCCGGUUAGGUCUGGUGUUUAUCCUGGUUAGGUCUGGUGAUUAUCCUGGUUAGGUCUGGUGAUUAUCCUGGUUAGGUCUGGUGAUUACCCUGGUUAGGUCUGGUGAUUAUCCUGGUUAGGUCUGGUGAUUAUCCUGGUUAGGUCUGGUGAUUAUCCCGGUUAGGUCUGGUGAUUAUCCUGGUUAGGUCUGAUGUUUAUCCUGGUUAGGUCUGGUGUCUAUCCUGGUUAGGUCUGGUGUUUAUCCCGAUUAGGUCUAUUGUUUAUCCUGGUUAGGUCUGAUGUUUAUCCUGGAUAGGUCUGGUGAUUAUCCCGGUUAGGUCUGGUGAUUAUCCUGGUUAGGUCUGAUGUUUAUCCUGGUUAGGUCUGGUGUUUAUCCUGGUUAGGUCUGGUGAUUAUCCUGGUUAGGUGUGGUGUUUAUCCUGGUUCAGUCUGGUGUUUAUCCUGGUUAGGUGUGGUGUUUAUCCUGGUUCAGUCUGGUGUUUAUCCUGGUUAGGUGUGGUGUUUAUCCUGGUUCAGUCUGGUGUUUAUCCUGGUUAGGUCUGGUGUCUAUCCUGGUUAGGUCUGGUGUUUAUCCCGAUUAGGUCUAUUGUUUAUCCUGGUUAGGUCUGAUGUUUAUCCUGGAUAGGUCUGGUGAUUAUCCCGGUUAGGUCUGGUGUUUAUCCUGGUUAGGUUUGGUGAUUAUCCUGGUUAGAUCUGUUGUUUAUCCCGGUUAGGUCUGGUGUUUAUCCUGGUUAGGUCUGGUGUUUAUCCCGGUUAGGUCUGGUGUUUAUCCCGGUUAGGUCUGGUGUUUAUCCUGGUUAGGUCUGGUGUUUAUCCCGGUUAGGUCUGGUGUUUAUCCCGGUUAGGUCUGGUGUUUAUCCCGGUUAGGUCUGGUGAUUACCCUGGUUAGGUCUGGUGUUUAUCCUGGUUAGGUCUGGUGAUUAUCCUGGUUAGGUCUGGUGAUUAUCCUGGUUAGGUCUGGUGAUUAUCCUGGUUAGGUCUGGUGAUUACCCUGGUUAGGUCUGGUGAUUAUCCCGGUUAGGUCUGGUGAUUUUCCUGGUUAGGUCUGGUGUUUAUCCUGGUUAGGUCUGGUGUUUAUCCCGGUUAGGUCUGGUGUUUAUCCCGGUUAGGUCUGGUGUUUAUCCCGGUUAGGUCUGGUGAUUACCCUGGUUAGGUCUGGUGUUUAUCCUGGUUAGGUCUGGUGAUUAUCCUGGUUAGGUCUGGUGAUUAUCCUGGUUAGGUCUGGUGAUUACCCUGGUUAGGUCUGGUGAUUAUCCUGGUUAGGUCUGGUGAUUAUCCUGGUUAGGUCUGAUGUUUAUCCUGGUUAGGUCUGGUGUCUAUCCUGGUUAGGUCUGGUGUUUAUCCCGAUUAGGUCUAUUGUUUAUCCUGGUUAGGUCUGAUGUUUAUCCUGGAUAGGUCUGGUGAUUAUCCCGGUUAGGUCUGGUGAUUAUCCU